GUGCCAGCAGCCGCGGUAAUACGGAGGGGGCUAGCGUUGUUCGGAAUCACUGGGCGUAAAGCGCGCGUAGGCGGUCCGCACAGUCAGGCGUGAAAGCCCCGGGCUCAACCUGGGAACUGCGCUUGAUACUGGCGGGCUAGAGUACGGGAGAGGGUAGUGGAAUUCCCAGUGUAGAGGUGAAAUUCGUAGAUAUUGGGAAGAACACCAGUGGCGAAGGCGGCUACCUGGACCGGUACUGACGCUGAGGUGCGAAAGCGUGGGGAGCAAACAGGAUUAGAUACCCCGGUAGUCCC
rnacentral:rRNA from 1 species